GAGGUUGUGGCUUAGUGGUAGAGCGCUUGCCUAGUAUGCAUGAGGCCCUGGGUUUGAUUCUCAGCACCGCA
rnacentral:tRNA from 1 species